UACGAAGGGGGCUAGCGUUGCUCGGAAUCACUGGGCGUAAAGGGUGCGUAGGCGGGUCUUUAAGUCAGGGGUGAAAUCCUGGAGCUCAACUCCAGAACUGCCUUUGAUACUGAAGAUCUUGAGUUCGGGAGAGGUGAGUGGAACUGCGAGUGUAGAGGUGAAAUUCGUAGAUAUUCGCAGGAACACCAGUGGCGAAGGCGGCUCACUGGCCCGAUACUGACGCUGAGGCACGAAAGCGUGGGGAGCAAACAGG
rnacentral:rRNA from 1 species